rnacentral:tRNA from 1 species
UGGGGUGUAGUUCAGUGGUAGAGCAUAUGCUCAGCAUGCAUGAGGCCUUGGGUUCAAUCCCCAGCACUUUAA